UCAUGUUUGAAUGUUUUAUUUCUUCAUAAAAAUAGUUCAAGUUCAUAAGAAUUCAAUAUUUACAAUAACAGUGACAGUAUAUAACAAGACAUCAUAACAUUAAUAAGUCUUCAUCUGUUGCCACAGCAAGCUUUCACCAUAGCCAAUAUAUUUAAGCACAGAUUAGGUUGUAACAUCAGAAUUUCCAUGAGAUAUGAGAUAAAUAAAUAACAACCAAAUCCUUAGCUAUACUUUUAACUCACAUUUUCAAUUGUUGGACUAACCUUUUUUGUUGUUUAAUUUCAAUUCUAGAAACAUACAAGAUUUAGUAAAAUUCUACUAACAAUUUCUUAGGAAAAGUGAAAUAAUGGUAACUGCCUUCCUAAAGUUGAAAAAUGGAAUAGAGGGAACAUACAAAUUGUCCUUAACAAGAUAUAUCUAGUGGCUCAAGUUAUUUGUUUUAUUUUUUGGGGGGGGG